rnacentral:rRNA from 1 species
UACAGAGGUCUCAAGCGUUGUUCGGAUUCAUUGGGCGUAAAGGGUGCGUAGGUGGCGGGGUAAGUCUGGUGUGAAAUCUCGGGGCUCAACCCCGAAACUGCACUGGAUACUGCCUUGCUAGAGUACUGGAGAGGAGAUUGGAAUUUACGGUGUAGCAGUGAAAUGCGUAGAUAUCGUAAGGAAGACCAGUGGCGAAGGCGAAUCUCUGGACAGUUACUGACACUGAGGCACGAAGGCCAGGGGAGCAAA